UGUAAGCGUAUACCAAAGUUGUUGCAGUUAAAACGCUCGUAGUCGGAAUUUGGCAGUUCCGGAUGUGUGCACGUCGUGUGCGCACUUCGCGGGGAUUGCUUUUGUGGUCUUGCGUAGGAUGAGGCACUUUUAUUAGUGAACGUCCUCACGCAACCACUUUUUACUGUGAGAAAAUCAGAGUGCUCAAAGCAGGCAUUUGCCGUGAAUGUAUUAGCAUGGAAUAAUAGAAUAUGACUUGGUUCUAUUUUGUUGGUUUGUUGGGACUGAGUAAUGAUUAAGAGGGACAGUUGGGGGCAUUUGUAUUUCGGUGCUAGAGGUGAAAUUCUUAGAUUACCGAAAGACAAACUGCUGCGAAAGCGUCUGCCAAGGAUGUUUUCAUUGA
rnacentral:rRNA from 1 species